GCAGGCUGCAACCCGCCUGCGUGAAGUUGGAAUCGCUAGUAAUCGCGGAUCAGCAUGCCGCGGUGAAUACGUUCCCGGGCCUUGCACACACCGCCCGUCACACCAUGAGAGUCGGGAACACCCGAAGUCCGUAGCCUAACUUGAAAGAGGGGGCGCGGCCGAAGGUGGGUUCGAUAAUUGGGGUGAAGUCGUAACAAGGUAGC
rnacentral:rRNA from 1 species